rnacentral:rRNA from 1 species
GAUGAACGCUGGCGGCGUGCCUAAUACAUGCAAGUCGAGCGAACGGACGAGAAGCUUGCUUCUCUGAUGUUAGCGGCGGACGGGUGAGUAACACGUGGAUAACCUACCUAUAAGACUGGGAUAACUUCGGGAAACCGGAGCUAGUACCGGAUAAUAUUUUGAACCGCAUGGUUCAAAAGUGAAAGACGGUCUUGCUGUCACUUAUAGAUGGAUCCGCGCUGCAUUAGCUAGUUGGUAAGGUAACGGCUUACCAAGGCAACGAUGCAUAGCCGACCUGAGAGGGUGAUCGGCCACACUGGAACUGAGACACGGUCCAGACUCCUACGGGAGGCAGCAGUAGGGAAUCUUCCGCAAUGGGCGAAAGCCUGACGGAGCAACGCCGCGUGAGUGAUGAAGGUCUUCGGAUCGUAAAACUCUGUUAUUAGGGAAGAACAUAUGUGUAAGUAACUGUGCACAUCUUGACGGUACCUAAUCAGAAAGCCACGGCUAACUACGUG